GUGGCUCUCGUUUGAUAUAUCUUAUGGUGUUUCAUGUUUCUGAUAAUUAUUCUAUGGACCGAAACAACUUGACAAAUGGAAACGAAAGACCUUGAGCUGGAAGUGGAAUCAAUAAUACCGAUUGUUUGUUGUCAUGAGAGAUUGAGCUAGAAGAGUCUGCUACAUUGGAUAAGGGGCAGUUGGUUUCAUAGUUUUUGAUGUCUGCUACAUUGGAUGAAGUCUACUAAGUUAGGUUGCUUGACUUAUGACUAUUUUGGGUUCUUUUUGAAUAUUAAUGACAAAAAUUUGUCCAAUGAUACUUGCAGAUGUAAUUAUAUUAAUGGAAUAGUUCUUUUCAUUUUGUGAUAUUCAGACAAUCUUGAUUAUUAAUAUAUAUGUGAAUCUUUUUGAUGGCAAAA